UCCCGAUGAGGAAGCACUCCCAAAAUUGAUAGGAAGUGCCGUAUGACACUUAAACCAGCGGCGGAGCA
rfam:Morus notabilis contig25255, whole genome shotgun sequence.